GAUGAAGAACGUAGCGAAAUGCGAUAAGUAAUGUGAAUUGCAGAAUUCAGUGAAUCAUCGAAUCUUUGAACGCACAUUGCGCCCGCCAGUAUUCUGGCGGGCAUGCCUGUCUGAGCGUCAUUUCAACCCUCAUGCCCCUAGGGCGUGGUGUUGGGGAUCGGCCAAAGCCCGCGAGGGACGGCCGGCCCCUAAAUCUAGUGGCGGACCCGUCGUGGCCUCCUCUGCGAAGUAGUGAUAUUCCGCAUCGGAGAGCGAUGAGCCCCUGCUGUUAAACCCCCAACUUUCCAAGGUUGACCUCAGAUCAGGUAGGAAUACCCGCUGAACUUAAGCAUAUCAAUAAGCGGAGGA
rnacentral:misc_RNA from 1 species